UAGGGAAUCUUCGGCAAUGGGGGCAACCCUGACCGAGCAACGCCGCGUGAGUGAAGAAGGUUUUCGGAUCGUAAAGCUCUGUUGUAAGUCAAGAACGGGUGUGAGAGUGGAAAGUUCACACUGUGACGGUAGCUUACCAGAAAGGGACGGCUAACUACGUGCCAGCAGCCGCGGUAAUACGUAGGUCCCGAGCGUUGUCCGGAUUUAUUGGGCGUAAAGCGAGCGCAGGCGGUUUGAUAAGUCUGAAGUUAAAGGCUGUGGCUCAACCAUAGUUCGCUUUGGAAACUGUCAAACUUGAGUGCAGAAGGGGAGAGUGGAAUUCCAUGUGUAGCGGUGAAAUGCGUAGAUAUAUGGAGGAACACCGGUGGCGAAAGCGGCUCUCUGGUCUGUAACUGACGCUGAGGCUCGAAAGCGUGGGGAGCGAACAGGAUUAGAUACCCUGGUAGUCCACGCCGUAAACGAUGAGUGCUAGGUGUUGGAUCCUUUCCGGGGUUCAGUGCCGCAGCUAACGCAUUAAGCACCCCGCCUGGGGAGUACGACCGCAAGGUUGAAAC
rnacentral:rRNA from 1 species